rnacentral:rRNA from 1 species
UCCAGGCCCUACGGGGCGCAGCAGGCGCGAAACCUCCGCAAUGUGAGAAAUCGCGACGGGGGGAUCCCAAGUGCCAUUCUUAACGGGAUGGCUUUUCAUUAGUGUAAAGAGCUUUUGGAAUAAGAGCUGGGCAAGACCGGUGCCAGCCACCGCGGUAACACCGGCAGUUCUAGUGGUAGCAGUUAUUAUUGGGCCUAAAGCGUCCGUAGCCGGUUUAAUAAGUCUCUGGUGAAAUCCUGUAGCUUAACUAUGGGAAUUGCUGGAGAUACUAUUAGACUUGAGAUCGGGAGAGGUUAGAGGUACUCCCAGGGUAGAGGUGAAAUUCUGUAAUCCUGGGAGGACCGCCUGUUGCGAAGGCGUCUAACUGGAACGAUUCUGACGGUGAGGGACGAAAGUUAGGGGCGCGAACCGGAUUAGAUACCCGGGUAGUCCUAACUGUAAACGAUGCGGACUUGGUGUUGGGAUGGCUUUGAGCUGUCUCAGUGCCGAAGGGAAGCUGUUAAGUCCGCCGCCUGGGAAGUACGGUCGCAAGACUGAAACUUAAAGGAAUUGGCGGGGGAACACCACAACGCGUGGAGCCUGCGGUUUAAUUGGACUCAACGCCGGA